AUGCCAUCCCUCGCGGCCACGACUAUCGCGAGUGUGUCGCCGCAGGCAUUCGAGCGCGAGCGGCGGUCGAUCCGCGCAGAUGCACUCAAGAGGCCACGAUUCUCCGUAUCACUCUCCGCAGAGGAGAUUGAGGAAGACAUCUACGGCCUCACCGGCGCACUCCCGCGUAGCCGCCCUCGCGGUCGGCCCCGCAAAGUGCAAAAGCAGAUCGAUCUGCUAUUUCCCGGCGCGCGGUUAUCGCAGAUCAACAUGGAGUCCUACCGGGUGUCGGACAAUCGCUGA
rnacentral:rRNA from 1 species